rnacentral:rRNA from 1 species
UACGUAGGGUGCGAGCGUUAAUCGGAAUUACUGGGCGUAAAGCGUGCGCAGGCGGUUUUGUAAGUCUGUCGUGAAAGCCCCGGGCUCAACCUGGGAAUUGCGAUGGAGACUGCAAGGCUUGAAUCUGGCAGAGGGGGGUAGAAUUCCACGUGUAGCAGUGAGAUGCGUAGAGAUGUGGAGGAACACCGAUGGCGAAGGCAGCCCCCUGGGUCAAGAUUGACGCUCAUGCACGAAAGCGUGGGGAGCAAACAGG